rnacentral:rRNA from 1 species
CCUACGGGCGGCAGCAGUGAGGAAUAUUGGUCAAUGGACGAGAGUCUGAACCAGCCAAGUAGCGUGAAGGAUGACUGCCCUAUGGGUUGUACACUUCUUUUAUAUGGGAAUAAAAUGUUCCACGUGUGGGAUUUUGUCUGUACCAAAUGAAUACGGAUCGGCUAACUCCGUGCCAGCAGCCGCGGGAAUACGGAGGAUCCGAGAGUUAUCCGGAUUUCUUGGGUGUAAAGGGAGCGUAGGUGGUUUGUUAAGUCAGGUGUGAAAGUUUGCGGCUUAACCGUAAAAUUGCAGUUGAAACUGGCAGUCUUGAGUACAGUAGGGGUGGGCGGAAGUCGUGGUGUAGCGGUGAAAUGCUUAGAUAUCACGAAGAACUCCGAUUGCGAAGGCAGCUCACUGGACUGCAACUGACACUGAGGCUCGAAAGUGUGGGUAUCAAACAGGAUUAGAACCCUUGUAGUC